UCCCUGGUAGCUCAGCUGGUUAGAGCACCUGACUGUUAAUCAGGGGUCGUUGGUUCAAGUCCAACCCGGGGAG
rnacentral:tRNA from 1 species